rnacentral:lncRNA from 1 species
CGCACUUUGAUGGUAUUGUUAAAUAUAACAUUAAAAUGACAACAUAAUAAUACAGGACUACAAUACAAAUAAAUAGCAGAACGUAUUUGGCAAAGAAACACAUGAAUAAUAGAUAACAAAAGGCAUCAGGUUUAAAAUUCAUUACGUCAAAAACGUGCCUCGUCCAAACAAGACUUACCAGUGACGCCCAGAUAUAAAAGUUCGAAAGUCAAAAAAAGGUACAAAGUAGUACAGCUCUGAGGAUCAAAAGUUGAAAAAGGUUGUGCCAAAUACGGCUAGGGGUUUUUGCUUGUGAUAAGAACAUCCUUAUUAUAUAGAACAAUAUAUGCUAUUGCAAACAGUAAAUUUUAUCAAAUGAAUAUAAAAGAUUUACAUGAUAAAACUGACGUCUUAACUAAUUAAAGAAAACAAAACCCAAAUACAUAAUACAUUGAAGACCAACACAGAAAAUAGACACAUCAAAAAAGUUUGAACCAACGAUCGCAAUUUGAAAAAUUUCAUUGGUUAUAUAGCAGUUUGACAAUCACUACUUUUAAUCAUUUGGAAGCUUAAUAUUUCGUUAACAAUACAACGUGAUUGAAACGUUAUCUGAUUUUGCAGAGUUAUCUCCCUUUAGUGUUGGUACCACCUUAAAUCCGUACAUUUAUCAUACUAAUGUAAACUGCAC